GUAGGUGAACCUGCGGAAGGAUCAUUAUUGAAAUAAACCUGAUGGGCUGUUGCUGGUUCUCUAGGGAGCAUGUGCACGCCUUGUCAUCUUUAUAUCUCCACCUGUGCACCUUUUGUAGACCCCUCCAGGUCUAUGUCGCUUCAUUUACCCCCAAUGUAUGUUGAUAGAAUGUCGUGACUAUAUAAAAUCUAUACAACUUUCAGCAACGGAUCUCUUGGCUCUC
rnacentral:misc_RNA from 1 species